rnacentral:rRNA from 1 species
AUUGAACGCUGGCGGCAGGCUUAACACAUGCAAGUCGAGCGGAGAUGAGGUGCUUGCACCUUAUCUUAGCGGCGGACGGGUGAGUAAUGCUUAGGAAUCUGCCUAUUAGUGGGGGACAACAUUCCGAAAGGAAUGCUAAUACCGCAUACGUCCUACGGGAGAAAGCAGGGGAUCUUCGGACCUUGCGCUAAUAGAUGAGCCUAAGUCGGAUUAGCUAGUUGGUGGGGUAAAGGCCUACCAAGGCGACGAUCUGUAGCGGGUCUGAGAGGAUGAUCCGCCACACUGGGACUGAGACACGGACCAGACUCCUACGGGAGGCAGCAGUGGGGAAUAUUGGACAAUGGGGGGAACCCUGAUCCAGCCACGCCGCGUGUGUGAAGAAGGCCUUAUGGUUGUAAAGCACUUUAAGCGAGGAGGAGGCUACUGAGACUAAUACUCUUGGAUAGUGGACGUUACUCGCAGAAUAAGCACCGGCUAACUCUGUGCCAGCCGCCGCAGUAAAAC